rnacentral:rRNA from 1 species
AUUGAACGCUGGCGGCAGGCCUAACACAUGCAAGUCGAGCGGAUGAAGGGAGCUUGCUCCUGGAUUCAGCGGCGGACGGGUGAGUAAUGCCUAGGAAUCUGCCUGGUAUUGGGGGAUAACGUCCGGAAACGGGCGCUAAUACCGCAUACGUCCUGAUGGAGAAAGUGGGGGAUCUUCGGACCUCACGCUAUCAGAUGAGCCUAGGUCGGAUUAGCUAGUUGGUGGGGUAAAGGCCUACCAAGGCGACGAUCCGUAACUGGUCUGAGAGGAUGAUCAGUCACACUGGAACUGAGACACGGUCCAGACUCCUACGGGAGGCAGCAGUGGGGAAUAUUGGACAAUGGGCGAAAGCCUGAUCCAGCCAUGCCGCGUGUGUGAAGAAGGUCUUCGGAUUGUAAAGCACUUUAAGUUGGGAGGAAGGGCAGUAAGUUAAUACCUUGCUGUUUUGACGUUACCAACAGAAUAAGCACCGGCUAACUUCGUG